ACUUUAACUUCAUUGGUCUCAGGUAGGGCUACAGCUUCAGCCUGUUUAAAAAUGACCCCUCAGGUGAUUGUAAUUUGCAGCUUAGUGCUAAGAAAAGUGCCCCAGGUGAUUCUUAUUUGGAACUGCAAACAAAAAGGGCAAAGAAUACUUGAAGGCUGUAGGAAGAACCUGAAAAUCCAAAAAGGAUUUCUAUAGAAGACAGAAAUGAAGUUAUCUGGAAGUCAGGUUUUUUCUUAUUGUUCAGUUGCUAAGUCAUGUCUGACUCGGUGAUCCCAUGGACUGUAUCCUGCCAGGCUUCUCUGUCCAUGGAAUCCUCCAGUCCUUCAGGUUGACAGGACCACAGCCCAGGCCACAGUCUAUGGGUGAUACCCCUGUGUCCUUGUCACACUUGGCACUGGUGUCACUAAACAGAAGGACUGAUGCUGAGGCUGAAGCUGCAGUACCUUGGCCACCUGAUGAGAAGAACUGA
rnacentral:lncRNA from 1 species